ACCAUCAUCGAUCUGAUAGACGUCCAUUCUGUUGUUGCGCUGCUGAUGAAAUAACGGUUCGGCGGCUCCGUCUAGUGUCCCGCACUGCAUAAUGGGAUAGGCCCAG